CCGAGGCGGGAUGCCUUAACAUGCGGUCGUACGGUAACAGGAAGCAGCUUGCUGCUUCGCUGACGAGUGGCGGACGGGUGAGUAAUGUCUGGGAAACUGCCUGAUGGAGGGGGAUAACUACUGGAAACGGUAGCUAAUACCGCAUAACGUCGCAAGACCAAAGAGGGGGACCUUCGGGCCUCUUGCCAUCGGAUGUGCCCAGAUGGGAUUAGCUAGUAGGUGGGGUAACGGCUCACCUAGGCGACGAUCCCUAGCUGGUCUGAGAGGAUGACCAGCCACACUGGAACUGAGACACGGUCCAGACUCCUACGGGAGGCAGCAGUGGGGAAUAUUGCACAAUGGGCGCAAGCCUGAUGCAGCCAUGCCGCGUGUAUGAAGAAGGCCUUCGGGUUGUAAAGUACUUUCAGCGGGGAGGAAGGGAGUAAAGUUAAUACCUUUGCUCAUUGACGUUACCCGCAGAAGAAGCACCGGCUAACUCCGUGCCAGCAGCCGCGGUAAUACGGAGGGUGCAAGCGUUAAUCGGAAUUACUGGGCGUAAAGCGCACGCAGGCGGUUUGUUAAGUCAGAUGUGAAAUCCCCGGGCUCAACCUGGGAACUGCAUCUGAUACUGGCAAGCUUGAGUCUCGUAGAGGGGGGUAGAAUUCCAGGUGUAGCGGUGAAAUGCGUAGAGAUCUGGAGGAAUACCGGUGGCGAAGGCGGCCCCCUGGACGAAGACUGACGCUCAGGUGCGAAAGCGUGGGGAGCAUACAGGAUUAGAUACCCUGGUAGUCCACGCCGUAAACGAUGUCGACUUGGAGGUUGUGCCCUUGAGGCGUGGCUUCCGGUGCUAACGCGUUAAGUCGACCGCCUGGGGUGUACGGCCGCAAGGUUUAAAACUCAUAUGAAUUGACGGGGGCCCGCACAAGCGGUGGUAGCAUGUGGUUUUAUUUCGAUGCAACGCGAAGAACCUUUACCUGGGUCUUGACAUCCACAGUACUUUCCCAGAGAUGAAAUAGGUGCCUUUCGGGAACCUGUGAGACAAGUGCUGCAUGGCUGUCGUCAGCUCGUGGUUGUGAAUGUUGGAUUAGUUCCCGCAACGUGCGCUCCUUAUCCUUUUGUUGCCCAGCCGUUCGUCGGGUACUUCAUAGGAUACUGCAGGUGCAUUAACUGGAGUUAGGUGUGGAGAAUAGUAC
rnacentral:rRNA from 1 species